rnacentral:rRNA from 1 species
UACGUAGGGUGCAAGCGUUGUCCGGAAUUAUUGGGCGUAAAGAGCUCGUAGGCGGCUUGUCGCGUCGGCUGUGAAAACCUGGGGCUCAACCCCGGGCCUGCAGCCGAUACGGGCAAGCUAGAAUUCGGUAGGGGAGACUGGAAUACUUGGUGUAGCAGUGAAAUGCGUAGAUAUCAAGUGGAACACCAGUGGCGAAGGCGAGUCUCUGGACAUUUCCUGACGCUGAGGCACGAAAGCCAGGGGAGCAAACGGG